rnacentral:rRNA from 1 species
CCUACGGGAGGCAGCAGUGGGGAAUUUUGGACAAUGGGCGAAAGCCUGAUCCAGCCAUUCCGCGUGCAGGAUGAAGGCCCUCGGGUUGUAAACUGCUUUUGUACAGAACGAAAAGGUUUCUACUAAUACUAGGAGCUCAUGACGGUACUGUAAGAAUAAGCACCGGCUAACUACGUGCCAGCAGCCGCGGUAAUACGUAGGGUGCAAGCGUUAAUCGGAAUUACUGGGCGUAAAGCGUGCGCAGGCGGUUAUAUAAGUCAGAUGUGAAAUCCCCGGGCUCAACCUGGGAACUGCAUUUGAGACUGUAUAGCUAGAGUACGGUAGAGGGGGAUGGAAUUCCGCGUGUAGCAGUGAAAUGCGUAGAUAUGCGGAGGAACACCGAUGGCGAAGGCAAUCCCCUGGACCUGUACUGACGCUCAUGCACGAAAGCGUGGGGAGCAAACAGGAUUAGAUACCCUGGUAGUCCACGCCCUAAACGAUGUCAACUGGUUNUUGGGUCUUAACUGACUCAGUAACGAAGCUAACGCGUGAAGUUGACCGCCGCGGGAGGUACGGCCGCGAGGUUAGUAAACGUUAAAGGUAAAGUUAGUACGGACGUGAGACGUAGACCGACGGACGACGACGAGGGAGGAGG